GCGACAAAUGCCCUGCUUCCAGGAAAAGCCUCUAAGCAUCAGGUAACAUCAAAUCGUACCCCAAACCGACACAGGUGGUCAGGUAGAGAAUACCAAGGCGCUUGAGAGAACUCGGGUGAAGGAACUAGGCAAAAUGGUGCCGUAACUUCGGGAGAAGGCACGCUGAUAUGUAGGUGAAGCGACUUGCUCGUGGAGCUGAAAUCAGUCGAAGAUACCAGCUGGCUGCAACUGUUUAUUAAAAACACAGCACUGUGCAAACACGAAAGUGGACGUAUACGGUGUGACGCCUGCCCGGUGCCGGAAGGUUAAUUGAUGGGGUUAGCGGUAACGCGAAGCUCUUGAUCGAAGCCCCGGUAAACGGCGGCCGUAACUAUAACGGUCCUAAGGUAGCGAAAUUCCUUGUCGGGUAAGUUCCGACCUGCACGAAUGGCGUAAUGAUGGCCAGGCUGUCUCCACCCGAGACUCAGUGAAAUUGAACUCGCUGUGAAGAUGCAGUGUACCCGCGGCAAGACGGAAAGACCCCGUGAACCUUUACUAUAGCUUGACACUGAACAUUGAGCCUUGAUGUGUAGGAUAGGUGGGAGGCUUUGAAGUGUGGACGCCAGUCUGCAUGGAGCCGACCUUGAAAUACCACCCUUUAAUGUUUGAUGUUCUAACGUGGGCCCCUUACCGGGGUUGCGGACAGUGUCUGGUGGGUAGUUUGACUGGGGCGGUCUCCUCCUAAAGAGUAACGGAGGAGCACGAAGGUUGGCUAAUCCUGGUCGGACAUCAGGAGGUUAGUGCAAUGGCAUAAGCCAGCUUGACUGCGAGCGUGACGGCGCGAGCAGGUGCGAAAGCAGGUCAUAGUGAUCCGGUGGUUCUGAAUGGAAGGGCCAUCGCUCAACGGAUAAAAGGUACUCCGGGGAUAACAGGCUGAUACCGCCCAAGAGUUCAUAUCGACGGCGGUGUUUGGCACCUCGAUGUCGGCUCAUCACAUCCUGGGGCUGAAGUAGGUCCCAAGGGUAUGGCUGUUCGCCAUUUAAAGUGGUACGCGAGCUGGGUUUAGAACGUCGUGAGACAGUUCGGUCCCUAUCUGCCGUGGGCGCUGGAGAACUGAGGGGGGCUGCUCCUAGUACGAGAGGACCGGAGUGGACGCAUCACUGGUGUUCGGGUUGUCAUGCCAAUGGCACUGCCCGGUAGCUAAAUGCGGAAGAGAUAAGUGCUGAAAGCAUCUAAGCACGAAACUUGCCCCGAGAUGAGUUCUCCCUGACUCCUUGAGAGUCCUGAAGGAACGUUGAAGACGACGACGUUGAUAGGCCGGGUGUGUAAGCGCAGCGAUGCGUUGAGCUAACCGGUACUAAUGAACCGUGAGGCUUAACCUUACAACGCCGAAG
rnacentral:rRNA from 1 species